rnacentral:rRNA from 1 species
AUUGAACGCUGGCGGCAUGCCUUACACAUGCAAGUCGAACGGCAGCACGGGAGCUUGCUCCUGGUGGCGAGUGGCGAACGGGCGAGUAAUACAUCGGAACGUACCCUGAAGUGGGGGAUAACGUAGCGAAAGUUACGCUAAUACCGCAUAUUCUGUGAGCAGGAAAGAGGGGGAUCGCAAGACCUCUUGCUUUAGGAGCGGCCGAUGUCGGAUUAGCUAGUUGGUGAGGUAAAGGCUCACCAAGGCGACGAUCCGUAGCGGGUCUGAGAGGAUGAUCCGCCACACUGGGACUGAGACACGGCCCAGACUCCUACGGGAGGCAGCAGUGGGGAAUUUUGGACAAUGGGCGCAAGCCUGAUCCAGCCAUGCCGCGUGAGUGAAGAAGACCU